rnacentral:sRNA from 1 species
CAACAGGAGGAAUAGCGUGUGACGUCACAGCCAGACAAUAUACGUAACCAAUAAAUAUCUGGCAACCCUAAGUGCGUAGAUGGCGGCCUACGUGCACUCCAGAAGGCGGCCUCCAAAUGCAUGUCAAGGCAAAAAGGGUACAAAAUUCCCGCACUGAACUUGAACUGCUGCCUGCCUGCCUGCCUGGAACCGGAAUUCUUGCUAAUUUUAGAUGCCCUUCGAAUUGCUGAUUAAAUUGAAACGUACAAAUAAAUAACACAUACU